CGAAGGAGUGGCGAACGGGUGAGUAAUACAUAAGCAACCUACCCCACGAAGACUGGGGAUAAUCUCUGGAAACGGGGACUAAUACCGGAUAGGUAAUCGGAAGGCAUCUUCUGGUUAUUAAAGGUUAAAAAACACUGGUGGAUGGGCUUAUGGCGCAUUAGUUAGUUGGUGAGGUAACGGCCCACCAAGACGAUGAUGCGUAGCCGGCCUGAGAGGGUGAACGGCCACAUUGGGACUGAGACACGGCCCAG
rnacentral:rRNA from 1 species